GAAGCAAUCAGGAAACAACAGUUAAAAAAAAAGAAGCCAAAAUACCCUGAGGGCUGGAUCUGACUUCCAGCUUGACAGUGAUAAGAGUAGAGACUGUGCAGCAUGCCGCUUCAGAUGACACACUGAGUGGACAUGGAUCACAGAGUGCUUUUUAUGUUGCUGUCUCUCUGCAGCCCAGUAAUUCCUGAUAAAUGGUUGGUGGGAGGGGCCACCUAUUGUUCCGGUAGACUCAAGAAAGAAGAGGGAACAUCGACCAGAGAGGACAAGCAUGAGAACCUGCAGCUGAGAACAGCAGCUGAAGUGUGCAUAAAGCUCGACUGUGGAUCUGUUGUUUCUUUGCUCAUAACAAAGAGAACCUUCCUAUCUGACAACACAAACCAUGAACCAUAUGUGUUCCUGAGAUAUAAUUCUAUCGACGUUAAUAUCACAUGUUCAGAAUCUGUCAGGCUGGUCAAUGGAACUGACCUGUGUUCAGGCAGACUGGAGGUAAAGUUUGACCAAUCAUGGUCAUCUGUGUGUGAAGAUAACUUUGACCAGCGAGAAAGAG
rnacentral:lncRNA from 1 species